rnacentral:lncRNA from 1 species
AUCACUUAAAAGUACGUGGGUGAUGGGUUUGGCGGGUACAGCGGGCCUGGUCCUCCCUGUCCCUGCUCCGGUUGUUGCCUGCUCGCUUGUUUUACCUCCUCCGGCAGCCGGCGACAGGAAGUGCACGCGUGGGAGCGGCCCAGGCGUCCGCUCAGUUCCCUUGUCCGGACCCAUCUCCCAGAGGCCUGGGACAGGGAUCCCCAGCUCCAGCCUCGGGACCCCCUCGCCGAGCCCCGCCCCUGCCAUUGUUUACUCCGCAGCCGACUCCAGGAAACUUUGCUCGCCCGCAGUAAUUUUAUUUGGGAAAGUCGGGCGGUUGCCAUAGCAACCCCACUGACGUCAGAGGGGCUGGGGCCCGAAAUCCCCCGGAAGGGAGGGGGUGUUGAGGAGGGGAGACCCCGAGAAAGGCGCUCUUUAACCCUGUGCGCUCCAGCGCCUCAUGGCCGCCCACAACGAAAUUUGACAUCUUAAGCCGCUUACUCCCUCCUUCCCCCUGCCCCGGCUUCACGUUAGCCCUGGUGCUGGGCUAGGUCUGGGGCCACUCCUGUGUCACCCACCCCAACAGCGCCCUGGUAACUACCUAUCCCAUAGGCCAUUCCUGUGUCACCCAACCCAAGAACGCCUUGGCAACCCAACCCUAACAGGCCCUGGUAACUACUCAUCCCUGGGGCCACUCCUGUGUGUCACCCACCUCAA